rnacentral:rRNA from 1 species
CCCCUAGACGUCCUGGGCUGCACGCGCGCUACAAUAAUACGCACAGCGAGUAUCACCGAGCUCGAAAGGGCAAGGUAAACAAUAGAAAAGGUACUGUAAUGGUUAUAGAUCCUUGUAAUUAUUGAUCUUCAACGAGGAAUUCCUAGUAAGUAUGUGUCAUCAUCACGCACUGAUUACGUCCCUGCCCUUUGUACACACCGCCCGUCGCUCCUACCGAUUGGGUGAGCCGAUGAAACUCUCGGAUGUAGGCUAUUCAUAGCCCGCAGAAGAGAUUUGAAUCGUAGCGCUUAGAGGAAGGAGAAGUCGUAACA